UGCGCAGGCGGACUUUUAAGUCAGUGGUGAAAUCCCGAGGCUCAACCUCGGAACUGCCAUUGAUACUGGAAGUCUUGAAUUUGGUUGAAGUGGGCGGAAUGUAGCAUGUAGCGGUGAAAUGCUUAGAUAUGCUACAGAACACCGAUCGCGAAGGCAGCUCACUAAGCCAAUAUUGACGCUCAGGCACGAAAGCGUGGGUAGCAAACAGGAUUAGAUACCCUGGUAGUCC
rnacentral:rRNA from 1 species